GCCGACGUAGCUCAGCUGGCAGAGCAGCCGCCUCGUAAGCGGCAGGUCCGGGGUUCGAAUCCCCGCGUCGGCUCCA
rnacentral:tRNA from 1 species